GCCAGCCCGACGGCUGCUAUAACGAGCGUGCGUGCGCUGGGCGCGGGAGCCGCCGGUAACAGGAGCCGCCGGACCCCGGCGAGGAGCUGACUCUGUCUUUUCGGCUCUGCCCCGUGUAUAUUUAUCUGGGUCUUAGCACACCUUAAAGAGGUCACCUGAGCUCCUGCCUGAGUCUCAAAGAGUGAGGACUGAGAUCUGAGGGUGAAGAAACUCAUGAACCUGCUGCAGAGCUGAGAUUAAGUGUAUAAGUCUGCAGUACCAUGGAUGGCUGUCCCAGUGCUCCCAGCCUCCAGCACACCUCCCAUCCCAGUGCUCCCAUCUUGCCUCUCCAGGAAGCUGAUGGAUACUGCAGGAUUUCUAAAAACCAGCAGCUGCCAAGACACCAUCAGUCCCCGCUGGAAUUGUGAUUACCUCCUUGCCCAGGUGAUGCAGAAGCUUCGGAUGUUUCCCAUGCAGGGCCAUCAGAAAUGAUCUCAGGACAUCAGCCAGGGAAGACCAUCAAUGCCAGGGGCAAAUGAGGCUGAGAACAGAGACUGUUGGGUGUCCAGCUAAUCAUCAGGAGGGGAGAGCUGGCUGGGUACAACGGUUCUUCAGCAGGGGCUCCUGGUUCCACAGCUCCAGGUGGUGUGGGCAGGGCUGCAGCUGAGGGCAGGUUACAUCCCCGGACACUGGGCACAUCAGCACGUUCUGCUGGUUCAAAUGCAGAAGAGCUCAGUUGAGAAAAUGUGAAAUGAAGCCUGUUACUGGUCUAAACCCAGCUCUGAAAAUGAAAGUAACCACUUCUACAAGUUUAAAACCGGUGCCAUGUAGCAGCUCGGUGAGUCUACUCUCACCCAGAAGGACACUGGGUGUGUUCCUGGUGGGCUCUCAGCAGCUGGGACGUCUGGAAGGAGCAGCACAGCAGCAUCGAGAUGCUUCACCUGCCACCCAAACCCCACUGUGGGUAGUGAGAAAUGAAUUUGAUAGUGUGGAAAAUCUGGGCACUAUUGAGAAGUUAAGUCAGUCUCCAACUGGAUUCAUUCACUGCUGGUAGUUGGAAAAAUUAAUAAAGUGCAGAUCUGAAUCAA